GGCUCGGUAGCUCAGUGGGUAGAGCAACGGACUGCAAAUCCGUGUGGCGGCGGUUCGAUUCCGUCCCUGACCCCCA
rnacentral:tRNA from 1 species